rnacentral:rRNA from 1 species
UACCAGCACCCCGAGUGGUCGGGACGUUUAUUGGGCCUAAAGCAUCCGUAGCCGGUUCUACAAGUCUUCCGUUAAAUCCACCUGCUUAACAGAUGGGCUGCGGAAGAUACUAUAGAGCUAGGAGGCGGGAGAGGCAAGCGGUACUCGAUGGGGUAGGGGUAAAAAUCCGUUGAUCCAUUGAAGACCACCAGUGGCGAAGGCGGCUUGCCAGAACGCGCUCGACGUGAGGGAUGAAAGCUGGGGGAGCAAACCG